CUCCUCCGCCUCCUCAGUGAAGGCACGGCGACAAAAGAGAGAGAGAGAGAAGAAGAAGAAGCGAGAGAGAGGCUGCAGACUUUCCGACGUGAGAGGAAGAGGAGAGGAAGAAGAGAUCUCCAUCUUCGCCAUAAACCAAUCAUGAGUCUGGAAGACGGCUUCUGAAAUUCAGUUUGCUAUAAAAACUCUUCCGAUAAAGAACCAGUGCCACACCGAGCUCUGACCAGAUGGAGGUGAAUGCGGUUAAAAAACGCCAUCGCACACGAUCCAAAGGAGUCAGAGCCGCCGUGGAGGCAGUGACACAGGAGUUAUUCAGCUGUCCCACUCCAGGCUGUGAUGGCAGCGGUCACGUCAGCGGGAAGUACGCCAGACAUCGCAGG